AUGAAUACAGAGUCGGCGCUGUGCUCCAACAGGAAGGCCAUCCCAUCGCAUACCUCAGCAAAGCGUUGGCCCCGUACAAAAGGGUUAUCCACCAACGGAAAAGAAUACCUGGGAAUUGUCCUGACUGUUGAGCAGUGGCAGCCGUACAUGCAGUUUGGCGAGUUUGUGAUCAAAACUGACCAGCGCAGCUUAGUGCAUUUGGAAGAACAGCGGAUCCACACCCCUUGGCAACAGAAAGCGUUUACGAUACUCUUGGGACUACAGUACCGCAUCUGCUACCGCAAAUGUUCUGAAAAUGGCGCCGCAGAUGCUCUCUCUAGGCACUCGGUAUCUUCUUCUGAACAGCUUCACGCCAUCUCUGCGUGCCAACCUGUGUGGUUACAAGAGAUCGUCAGAGGUUAUGACCAAGACACAAAGACACAAUAG
rnacentral:rRNA from 1 species